UUAACGUCAAGUUUCGAAUAUUCUAGAGGAUCAAUGGGACUUGCGAUUUGAUCGGAAAUUCCCAAGUUUGCAGCAAAGCAUUUGGUCAAUCAACUAGUAAAGUAUCGCUUUUAGUCUCAUCGAUUUUGUCAGGUGGAAUUUUUUUAGCGCGGUGGCAAAUUGGGGUUUUGCAUCAGUUUUUAGCAUUAUGUUUGGAAAAUUCUGGAGAAUCAAUGGUACUUGCAAUUUGAUCGAAAACUUCUAGGUUUUUAGAAAGGCAUCUGGUUAAUCAACCCGCAAAGUUUGGCAUUUUUAACUACUCAUCGACUUUGCAAGACAAAUAGCUGGUUAAUCCAGACUUAAAGUUUCGCUUGUUUAUCUCAAGAACUUUGCAAGCGCGAAUUUUUUAGAGGCACAUCGGCAAAAUGGGGCUUUGCAAUACUUUUUAAUGUCAAGUUUGGAACGUCCUAGAAACAUAAUAGACUGUGCGAUUUGACUGAAAAUUUGCACAUGUAUAGACUAGGUUUAAAUUUUUUAACUUUGUCAUUCAAUAUACAAAAAUCGAGUUCUGUACCUUCUCAACUUUGCGAGCAAGUAGAUCGCAAAUCAAGUAGAAGCAGCUGAAAAGUGUUGGAGCAAUGCAAACCAGAUUAGACAACGGAUUGUUAAAUAUUGCCAAUAAUCCAUUGCCUGAAAGAUUUAAUUUAAAUUUGAACGUAGCGGUCAAGACUGUGACCAACGUUAUUGGCAUUCCAUAAAUAAUCGUCCAAUAUUUACAUAGCCGCGUUGAUGUAACUGUUUUAAUUAUAAUGAUUUUAAAACUGGA